rnacentral:rRNA from 1 species
GACGAACGCUGGCGGCAUGCCUAAUACAUGCAAGUCGAGCGAAUGAUGAAGAAGCUUGCUUCUUCUGAUUUAGCGGCGGACGGGCGAGUAACACGUGGGCAACCUGCCCUUCAGUGGGGGAUAACAUCCGGAAACGGGUGCUAAUACCGCAUAGUUUCUUUUUCCGCCUGGAAGAAGAAGGAAAGAUGGCCUUUGCGCUAUCACUGAGGGAUGGACCCGCGGCGUAUUAGUUAGUUGGUGGGGUAAUGGCCUACCAAGACGAUGAUACGUAGCCGACCUGAGAGGGUGAUCGGCCACAUUGGGACUGAGACACGGCCCAA